CCCUCCCUCUGUCAAUAAAGCCUUACCAUGGGCCUAUCCCAUACAAAUCUCCACAAUGCCUGUGGCAGUGUCAUUGCGUCUUUGGACGCCAGCUCUGGUGCUGGCGGAGGGAGAAAGAAUUGUGAGAGGGCAUCAGAACAUCUCACGAUGCUUUCCUUGAUGCCAAAGGAAAUCCAGCGUCUCGCUUGGCUCGGCUGUCUGAGCUUUUCUGCUGAAGGGGAAGACCAAAAAUGAAGUCAGCUUCAAAUUGGUGUGGCAGCUCAGAGCUCUCAGAGGAUACCAGGGAUCGUUGGAGGCCCUUUCCAAGUGGAAGAUUGCGUCCUAUAAAGAAUCACAGAAUCACUGAAUCAUACAAUGGCGUGCGUUGAAAAGGACCACAGUGACCAUCAAGUUUCACCUCCCACCCCCCUCCCCGCUAUGUGCAGUAUUGCCAGCCACUAGACCAAAAUGCCCCGUGCCACAUCCAGCCUGGCCUUGAAUGCCUCCAGGGAUGCGGCAUCCACAACCUCCUUGGGCAACCUGUUCCAGUGCCUCACCAGCCUCUCGGGGAAAAAAAUUCCUCCUCAGAUCCAACCUAAACCUCCCCUGUCUCCCUUGAAGACCACUCCUGCAUCUCCUAUUACAACCCACCCUCGGAAAGAGCCAUUCCCCCUCCUGCUUAGAUGCUCCCUUUAAGGAGCCUUCUCUUCUCCAAGCUAAACGAUCCCAGUUCCCUUCACCUUUCCUCAUACGAGAGGUGCUCCAGCCCUCUGACCAUCUUAGUGGCCCUCCUCUGGACCCACUCCAAAAACUCCCCGUCUUGAGGAGAAGAGAGAAUAAAGGUAAGGCAGACGCUGAGAAGGACAAGAGCAAAAGCAGAGAAGAACAGGCACAGGUAAGAAAGAAGAGCAGAAGAGGAGGAGAAGAAAAAAUGAGGAUGAAGGUAAGAAAAACAUGCGGGCAGGGAGAAAAGCUGAAGAAGGAAUGAGUGGGUGCAGGUAAAACAGAACAGCAGAAGUGGAGAGGAGCUGAAGAGGAGAAGUAUGAAAAGUAGAGCAAAAGUACAGGAGGUGGAAAGAGAGGAAAGAGGCAAGAGAGAAGAGAGGAAGAGCAGAGAAAGAACAGAGCAGUAGAGAAGAGCGGACAGUGCUGUGAAAAAAAGAACAGUGCCACAGAGCAGGUGAAGAAGAACAAAGAGCAGAAGAGGAGUGUAGAUGAAGAAGAGGUGUGAGGGCACAAGGAAGAAAGAUCAGAAGAGAAGAGGAGUGCGGUAAGAAGAAGGAGGAGAGAAGAUACGGGAAAAAGAACAGCAGAAGGGUGCAGAUGCAGAAGAUGAGAGAUGACACAGGGAACAACAAAGAGCAGAAGAGGAGAGCAGUCAGAAGAAAGACAAGUGAGAAUACGGGGGACAAAGCAAAGCAGAGAGGAGUGCAGAGGCAGAAGAAAGAGGAGAGAGGAUACAGAGAAGAAAGAGUAGUAGAAGAGAAGUGCAGAUGCAGAACAAAGAGCAUUGAGGAGACAGAAUAAGAAGAGCAACAGAGGAGUUUAGACGCAGAACGAUGAGGAGUGAAUAAGGAGGGGAAAUAACUGAGAAAAGGGAGAGAAGAGUAUGGGAAAAAAAUCUAGUAGAGGAGAGGAAGACAGCAGACAGGAGAGGUUAGAAAAGAUAGAAGAGAGAAGGGAGGGAGGGGGCAUCAAGGAAAGGUUUCCAAAGGUAAAAAAAAAAAAAAAAAAAAAAAAAAAAAGAGAGAGAGAUGAAGAAGAUGGGAGUUCAACAGAAGAACUGAAGAUGUAAGAAGUGGGGAGGCGUGUGCAGAGAGCAGGAGAGCAGAGAGAGAAGGUGAGAGCAAAUUCCGUCACUGAGAGAAGAAGAAAAAGGAACGUCAAUAAUUUUCGUCUCUAUUAAAGCUGGGUUCUGUGCAGGACAUACAGGUGUUGUUGUUCUUUUUCUUUCGUUCUUUCUUUCUCUGCAUUGCUUGUGUUCCUUUAGGCAAUUCAAGAACUAGGAACGUCCAGGAAUAUUUGCACAACUUUGUCAUGUCUCCUUAAUCUCAGCUGCUUUAAAAUACCCAACCGAUGUCAAGUGGGGGUCACCUCCUCCAGGGCACCCUGCAAUCCAGCUGUGCGCGUCUCACUUGGAAAAACUCACCUUCAGGAAGGAGCAGAGAGAUUUUCCACGCUCGGCCAAGAAUCCUCUUCUGCCACCCAGCACAUCCAUUGCUGAGCAGGACACCAUCACUCCCAUCAGCGUGUUGCCCUCUGUUCCCACGCCCUCAAGAGCAAAACAGCCACGCACAGCUGACCACAAAGCCUUUGGAGCAACCACCGGCAGACACAGAGCUUGCACACAUCCACCGCCAGGGACGUGCUGGGAGAUGAUGUCUCUGGGCCCAGGGCACGGCAGCAUUGGCUUCAGUGCUUUCAUGCCUCCUGACAGCAAACCUCUGCUGCCAAAGCAUCCUUUGCCCAAGGAAACCGUGCCAUCAAGCACAACGCUUUCUCCCCCGAGUCUCUCCAGCCGGCAGUGAAAAAGACAGACACAGCUUUCAGGAAGCCAAGAAACACAAACGCACUCCAUCUAGCAAAUAACCCCAGCACUGCUUACCCCUUCCUGAGGAACAGGGCACACAAAAGCCCACCCAGGAGCAGACCUCAAGCAGAGCUCCUUCCCUGCGGGCAGCCAGCCCUUCCGUGAGCUCAGGGCCGGGUGGAACCAGGCUGCACCCCUCGCUCAUGCAAGAGAAUCGCCUCCAGCUGCUCCCC
ensembl:lncRNA